rnacentral:rRNA from 1 species
ACAAGGUUUCCGUAGGUGAACCUGCGGAAGGAUCAUUGUCGUUUGUUCCGAAAAACACGACCCUGUGCACGUAACCUAAUCUAUCGCUGCCGGGGGGGCAUCGCCGCCUCGGCCCACCGGCCGCGGCCCUCUCUCGGGCCGUGUGCCGGAAAUACGGCGCGGUUCGCGCCAAGGAACACGAGAUGCUGAGGCGGCUGGCGGAGCGCUCCGGUGCGCCGCCCGCCGUCGAUGCAAAGCAAAACAUGAUGACUCUCGGCAACGGAUAUCUCGGCUCUCGCAUCGAUGAAGAACGUAGCGAAAUGCGAUACGUGGUGUGAAUUGCAGAAUCCCGCGAACCAUCGAGUCUUUGAACGCAAGUUGCGCCCGAGGGAUCCGCCCAAGGGCACGCCUGCCUGGGCGUUAGAAGCCCAUCCACGCUCGGUGCUCAUUCGGCCCGAUGCGGAUCAUGGCCCUCCGAGCCCCCCGAGGGCGCGGUGGGCCCAAGUGUGAGGCCGCCGGGAGGAGCCGGGAGCGGCGAGUGGUGGAAUGCUGCGUGCGCCGCCUCGUGCCCCUUCCUGGGACGUGGCUUUGACCGACCCUCGAACGAGGAGCCGUGCUGGCUAACGCCGCACGUCACUUUCGGAUCGAUACCCCAGGUCAGGCGGGGCUACCCGCCCAACACACAAACCCGA